GACGAACGCUGGCGGCGUGCUUAACACAUGCAAGUCGAACGAAGUGGCGAACGGGUGAGUAACGCGUAAUCAACCUGCCCUUCAGAGGGGGACAACAGUUGGAAACGACUGCUAAUACCGCAUACUGAAGGAGGGGAUUGCGUCUGAUUAGCUAGUUGGAGGGGUAACGGCCCACCAAGGCGAUGAUCAGUAGCCGGUUGGAGGGGUGAAACGGCAACAUGGGACUUGAGACAGGGCCCGGUCGCUAAGGGGAGGCGGAGGGGGGAAAUUUCCGGCAUGGGCGAAAGUCUGGCUGGGCAAAGGCGCGGGAGUGAUGAAGGGCUUCGGGUUGGAAAGCUACGUUAAGCGGGACGCGGUACCGGAAGAGUAAGCAACGGCUAACUACGUGCCAGCAGCCGCGGUAAUAC
rnacentral:rRNA from 1 species